rnacentral:rRNA from 1 species
UGGGGAAUUUUGUGCAAUGGGCGAAAGCCUGACACAGCGACACCGCGUGAACGAAGAAGCUCUUUGGAGUGUAAAGUUCUGUCGGCUGGAACGAAAACAAUGACGGUACCAGCAAAGGAAGCAUCGGCUAACUACGUGCCAGCAGCCGCGGUAAGACGUAGGAUGCAAGCGUUGUCCGGAUUUAUUGGGCGUAAAGAGUUCGUAGGCGGUUUACUAAGUCUGAUGUUAAAGAUCGGGGCUCAACCCUGAGAGUGCAUUGGAUACUGGUAGGCUUGAGUGUGGUAGAGGCUAGUGGAAUUCCCAGUGUAGCGGUGAAAUGCGUAGAUAUUGGGAAGAACACCAGUGGCGUAGGCGACUAGCUGGGCCAUAACUGACGCUGAGGAACGAAAGCCAGGGGAGCGAAUGGG